rnacentral:rRNA from 1 species
AUAACGACUCUCGGCAACGGAUAUCUCGGCUCUCGCAUCGAUGAAGAACGUAGCGAACUGCGAUACUUGGUGUGAAUUGCAGAAUCCCGUGAACCAUCGAGUCUUUGAACGCAAGUUGCGCCCCGAAACCUUCUGGUUGAGGGCACGUUUGCCUGGGUGUCACA